UACGUAGGUGGCAAGCGUUGUCCGGAUUUAUUGGGUUUAAAGGGUGCGUAGGCGGUUCUAUAAGUCAGUGGUGAAAUCCGGCAGCUCAACUGUCGAUGUGCCAUUGAUACUGCAGAACUUGAGUACAGACGAGGUAGGCGGAAUUGACGGUGUAGCGGUGAAAUGCGUAGAUAUCGGGAGGAACACCAGUGGCGAAGGCGGCUGUCUGGGCCAGUUCUGACGCUGAGGCGCGAAAGCGUGGGGAGCAAACAGG
rnacentral:rRNA from 1 species